rnacentral:rRNA from 1 species
GCUAGUUGGUGUGGUAACUGCACACCAAGGCGACGAUCAGUAGCUGGUCUGAGAGGAUGGACAGCCACAUUGGAACUGAGACACGGUCCAAACUCCUACGGGAGGCAGCAGUGGGGAAUUUUCCGCAAUGGACGAAAGUCUGACGGAGCGACGCUGCGUGAAGGAUGACGGCCCGCGGGUUGUAAACUUCUUUUCUCGAAGAAGAAACAAAUGACGGUAUUCGAGGAAUAAGCAUCGGCUAACUCCGUGCCAGCAGCCGCGGUAAGACGGAGGAUGCAAGUGUUAUUCGGAAUGAUUGGGCGUAAAGAGUCUGUAGGCUGUAUAGAAAGUCUUUUGUUAAAUUCCUCGGCUCAACCGAGAUCAAGCAAAGGAAACUUCUAUACUUGAGGGAAGUA